rnacentral:lncRNA from 1 species
AUAAGAGAAAAUAAUCAAGGGUACAAUAGCUUAAAUUUUUUGAGAAAAAUAAUUAUUUCGUAUUGUUUAAUAAAAAAAUAAGCAUAGCAAACACGCACGUGAGAGGGAGAGUGUUAAAUUAUUAUCUGAUAGCUUAAAUUUUGAAAAAAAAAAUGAUUAAUUCAUAUUAUUUAACAAAAAUAUUAUUUUAAUUAAUCAAAUACUCUGUUCUCUCUCUAUAUAUAUAAACAUAUUAACGUUAAUUGCAUACAGCUCCUAGUAAGUAUAUCGAAUAGUAAAUAUAUCUUUAUAAAGUUAAACUUUUUAUUUUUAUCCCUACAAAAGUCUAGUAAUAUUCAUUUGGUUUGUUACCGUUAGAGUACUAUUUAUUUUUUAACGGCAUAUAAGUGAAAUAACAAUUUUGCUCUUACAAAUAUAUCCCUCCAAAAGUCCUAAUUGUUAGAAUUAUAAAGAAAUAUAGUCCAAAAAAAUAUUUUAUCCAAGAAUAUAAAAAGGAUAAAAAAAUUAAUUUAACUCAUUCACUAACUAAGGUUAAAUAUUUUACUCAUGAUUAACUACAAUUUUCUAAAGAAUCCUAAUAGUAGGGGUAUAUUUGAAAACAAUAGGUUUUUUACAAGAAUAAAUAUGAAAAGUUGAAUUUUAUCAAAAUAUACCUGCUUAUGACGUCUCAAUAGUCCCACAUUAGAUGGGAAUAGAAUUAUAUUUGGUAUAUAAGAGACUAUGGACAUUAGUAAUAUAAUAAUAGGGCUUAAGUAUUUUGGACUAAUGGUUUAAUUCUAAGUUUCUAACAGUUAUUAUUACUAGUGGGCCGAAUUAUUAUAAUGCUAUUUGAUCCGAUAUAUUUACAGAGAGCCGUAUGCAAUUAACCUAGUACUUUAUAUGCAAGAGUGGGGGAGUGGGAAACUUCAUAAGCGUGCACGCAGCCGACACAUGUAGUGGGAUUUUGGGGGUGGGAGACGAGUUAGGGAACUUUUUGUUUCAGGUAAAACUUCAAAUAACAUCCCUGUGGUUUCAUACUUUUUCACUUUAAUAUCUAAUACCUUGUGAUUUAUAGUGUAUCAAUUUAGUGUCCUAUGGUUUCAUUUUUAUUUUCUUAUUAUCGAUUUUACUAAUUUUUUCAUUAAAUCAGUGACAAAGUUAAAACUAAAGGAUACUAAAUUGAAUAUUCGACAAAUCUAAGUAUUGUAUCUGAAGUUUUUUUGUAUAAAAUUUAAAAAAAUAUUAAUAGAGAAACUGACGAAAAGAUAAAAAUAAAACCACAGAAUACUAACUUGAUACAUUUUAAACCACAGGUACUAAAGUGAGAAAGUGCGAAACCACAAGGAUGGUAUUUGAAGUUUACCCUUGUUUUUAUGCCACAAUNUAGCUUCUUUUUUUUUUUUAAUUUUUUUUUAACUCUAGUGUUUUUGUGUGUGUGGAGUGGAGUUAUGUGUUUCCUAACUAAGAAUGUGCGCAUGUGACUGCAAGGAGUAAGUGGUGGUGGGACCCACCUCACCGGCCCGAAUCGCCGAAAGAAAUUCUAAAAAAAAAUAAAAUACAAAAAAAAAUUUGUAAAUAUUUGUUUUUUAUUUUUUGGUAAAUUUUAAAUACCACCCUGUUUGGCGUUUUCUCACUUUACUACUCUAUGAUUUAAAGUGUAUUAUUUUAGUACUGUAUAAUUUAUUUAUUUUUUUUCGUCAGCGGCUCUCUUAAUUAUCCAUUAAAUCAUACAUAUAAAAAAAAUCAGAUACCCCACAUAUAAUUUAUCGAAUAUUCACUUUAAUAACCAACCGUUCCUAGUGCAAGUGGCAAAAAAUUUGGUGAUUAGUAACCGAGGUCCCAAGUUCGAAUCCUAAUUGAUUCUCAUUUCUAGCUAAGUUUAUUUCUAAAUGAAAUAAACAAAGUGAGUAGCAUACUACCUAUCUUUUAAAAUAUAUAUAUAUAUACUUUACAAAAAAAUUAAUAAAGAAAUAACAGAAAGAGAAAAUUACAAAACUGUUGCAAUUUUAAACUACAAGAUAUUAAAGCGAGAAAGCGCAAAACCAUAGGGUGGUAUUUGAUUUUUUUUCUUUAUUUUUUCUUUCCAGUUUUUGAAAUAUCGAUAUUUUAAGCGCUUAAAAAUAUUAGAUAGUAUCUAUUGCCAGAUACUGUUAAAAAUAUUUCAGUUCAACUCAGAUAAAUUAUAUAAUGUGAGACCCUAUAUAUAAAAUAUAAUAUGGCUAAACUUUUAAUCCGGCUUAAGCAUUUUGGGUAAUGACUCAGCUCAAAAGAUUAAGAGAGUUAAGCAUGUUAGGAGGGGAGUAGUUCUAGGAUCGAUGACUCUUUGGGAAGUAGAGGCGUCACAGUUGGUAUCAUAAUCAAUUAUCAACCGAAAGUAUAAGAUGAGUUUCGACUGAGCCAAAAUUAUACAGCGGAGAGAGCGAGACUCUCGUACUGUUGACUGUUGUCGGUGAAGCUAAACUAGCGAGACGAGUCUAAUGAUA